GUCUGAUUGAUGUGCUGACGCAGUAUGACACCAAGAAGAAAGCCGCUCACGCAGCCAAGGCUGUCAAACACGUGGCAGGAGCAGAAAUCUCGACAGUUCAUCCAGAUCAGUAUGCUAAGCGUUUCAGGGAGUUCAUCGCAAAGAUAUUUGCCUAGCAGUCCAAAAAUUCCAUCAUUUCACACAUACAAAGGUGGAGAGUGCGGAUCCUUCAAAAAAGACUUGGAUUUGAUUUUCCCAAAUGAAUUAAACUUAAAAAGAACCAUCUUU